GAACCGUCACAACGGCUUCCUGGCGUGGCGGGGAUACAUCAACGGAGCA
rfam:Rhodobacterales bacterium 65-51 scnpilot_p_inoc_scaffold_97, whole genome shotgun sequence.